UUUUCUGCUAUCGUUGAGGAAGUUCAUCGCUUUGUACCGCCAGCCGGCGGUUAUUCAUUCGGAUAACGGGACGAAUUUCGUUGGUGCGGAACGUGAGCUACGUGAAGCCGUCGAGGCCCUACACGCCUCCGGAGAGGUUCCCGUUUUCAUGGAGAAGGCAGGGAUUGAUUGGAAUUUCCAGCCUCCACGUACACCCCACUUUGGCGGCGCUCAUGAGUCGUUGGUCAAAUCGACUAAACGCGCCCUUUACAACGCACUGGAGAUAGAAGGAAAGAGUCUGCGUCACCCAACGGAAGACGUCUUGAGGACUCUUUUAUAUGAAGUCGCUGGUUUAUUGAACACCAGGCCGCUCACAUAUGUGAGCUCCGAUCCCGAGGACUUCCGGCCGCUCACACCGAACGACUUCCUUAACAGAUCGCCGACCGCCUUCCCGCCAGCUGGAUGUUUCGAUGAUGCAAGCCCUCGUGAACAUUAUCGCUAUCUACAACGGCUGCUCAACUUAUUCUGGGAUAUCUGGAGGUCAGGGUAUCUGCAAUCUCUGGCCGCCCGCAAGAAAUGGAAGGUGCAGCGGCCAAACUUCACGGUGGGAGAUAUCGUUCUCGAAAUAAAUAAGACACUCGGCCGCGGACAGUGGAACAUCGGACACAUAGUUCAAGUUUAUCCUGGGUCAGACGGCUGUGUCCGAGCAGUCGACGUCCAACUACCAACUGGAAUCUUCCGGCGAGGAAUUACCGAAUUAUGUCUUCUGGAAUCCAGCUCGGCCGGCGAGCCGGCCUCGGGGGAGGAUGGAUCGGCGAAAGCGCACCCCGUCUGAAAUUUGGCAACGUUUUCCCUCCCUCCUUUUUCCCCCUCUCAAUUGUCAAUUAAUGUCGUCUGUAAACCACGUUGAAUUCUGGGCUUUCACUCUCUCUCUCUCGUGUUUAACUGAUUUGUUCGUGAUUGCCCAAAGUCAAUUUACUGGGUUUAAGGACCCGUGUGUGUGUGUGUCGUUCUUCUUAUUCUAAGAGACGUCACUCGAGUUGAAUCUAGUGUGUGACGAUAUAUCCGACAUUUGUGUGUCACAGGACACUAAUUGGCCUAUACACCUCUGGGUGUUGACCCUGUGUACGAGUGAUUCUCACCUUGUGUGUAGCCUGUCUUCACAGGAACCACCACUUCCUUAUCACAAAGUACACCGUGUUCAUUUAUGUGAACACCAGUCAAGUCGAACACAAUACAAGAGAUUUUGCUCUUACGAGCCAAC